rnacentral:rRNA from 1 species
UACGGGGGGAGCAAGCGUUGUUCGGAUUUACUGGGCGUAAAGGGCGCGUAGGCGGCCACGACAAGUCACUUGUGAAAUCUCCGGGCUUAACUCGGAACGGUCAAGUGAUACUGUCGGGCUAGAGUGCAGAAGGGGCAACUGGAAUUCUCGGUGUAGCGGUGAAAUGCGUAGAUAUCGAGAGGAACACCUGCGGCGAAGGCGGGUUGCUGGGCUGACACUGACGCUGAUGCGCGAAAGCUAGGGGAGCAAACGGG